GACGAACGCUGGCGGCGUGCUUAACACAUGCGAGUCGAACGGAAAGGCCUGCUUUCCCUUGUGGAUUGCGGGUACUCGAGUGGCGAACGGGUGAGUAACACGUGAGUGAUCUGCCCCCAACUUGGGUAUAAGCCUGGGAAACUGGGUCUAAUUCCCGAUAGGACUGCAGGGUGGUGCCUGUGGUGGAAAACGAUUUUCUAGUGGUUGGGGAUGAGCUCGCGGCCUAUCAGCUUGUUGGUGGGGUAAUGGCCUACCAAGGCGGCGACGGGUAGCCGGCCUGAGAGGGUGGACGGCCACAUUGGGACUGGGAUACGGCCCAGACUCCUACGGGAGGCAGCAGUGGGGAAUAUUGCACAAUGGGCGGAAGCCUGAUGCAGCGACGCCGCGUGGGGGAUGACGGCCUCCGGGUUGUAAACUCCUUUCGACCGCGAGGAAGCCACCUGGUUGGAAGGGUGGUGACGGUAGUGGUAGAAGAAGCACCGGCUAACUACGUG
rnacentral:rRNA from 1 species